rnacentral:rRNA from 1 species
GACGAACCGCGCGAACGUUAUUCGGAAUCACUGGGCUUAAAGCGCGUGUAGGCGGGACGGCACGUCGGCCGCUGAAAUCCCCCGGCUCAACCGGGGAAGGGGCGCCGAUACGACCGCCCUGGAGGGACGUAGGGGGGGGCUGGAACUUCCGGUGGAGCGGUGAAAUGCGUUGAGAUCGGAAGGAACGCCCGUGGCGAAAGCGAGCCCCUGGACGUCUACUGACGCUGAGGCGCGAAAGCCAGGGGAGCGAACGGGG